AGGGCUGUAGCGCAGUUGGCCGUCGCGCUUUCUCUCAGAGGGAAGAGGACGCUGGUUCGAAUCCAGUCGGCCCACCCC
rnacentral:tRNA from 1 species